GCAUGCGCACACAUACACACAGAAAAUAAGAUUACUAAACCCUUCGUACAUCAUUUAAUCCAAUAUCUUCAGUUUUUAGACGAGGAAACUGAAGGGAGGUUAACUAGCCUAGGAUCACAUAACCUAGGGGGUUUCUCAGGCAGCAUUUUAGUUCCCGCCUCGGUGAGUCCAAGUUCAAAAUUCUAUGCUGAGUAAUAAAUCCGUGUUAAGGCCGGUUCUACGACGCUUAAUUUCAGAGAGGAAACUGGCCCCAGCAGAUAAGUUUAUUAGCUUUCUUGACAUCAAAUAGACGGAGAUUUUUGGAAAAGACAGAAAAAGAGAAAGAGACAGGCAGAGAGAGCAAGAGAAUGAGAGACAUUUCUUAUAUAAUGGUAUUCAAGUCCAAGAAAGCAAAGAGAAAACAAUAUGGAUCACAUACUCUGGGGGAAGAGCAAAGACAGAUUCCAAAAGGCCUAAUUUAUACAUGAAAAGUUACCUGGAUAUAAAUCUAUGUUUAUAUCUAUUUUUGAAUAUUUUUCUUUGGGACCACAAAGGAGACAGAUGGAAUUCUACAAACUGGGAGCCAAAACGAGAAAGAAUUUCAUCAUUUAUUCUAGAAGCAGAUGACAAGAAACAGUAUCCAGAAAUUACUUCCAGAAGAUAAUUUACUUUGGACAAAGGAGCCCAGGAUGUUUAACGAAGCUAAUAUUAUCUAAACUUAAUCUGUAUGGAGUUCAAGUGUAGUAUAAAUACCACUACCUGACACAUGUAAAAUGCUACUUGAGUUGACUUGAAACUAUAUUUGUUCCCUUUGUUAUUCAGAACUUUACAAAGGAAAGGAAAAACUUUACUAACAUGAAGGUGAACAUUUACAUAAAUAUAGAACAUAAAAAAGAGAUUAUAUGUAUAUACUAAAAAUGUAUAUGCUGAAUUUAACAGAUUAGAAAUAAUAUUGCCCACUUGUCUAUAGUCCCUUUCUGAACUUCUUGCUAUUCUUUUCUGGAACAACCCACUCUUAAAGCUACAAUUCUUCCCCACUAGAUACCUUUCCAUAUGCAUUUAAAUUUCUUAGUAUAUAAAUUUUAGAAGGUGAUAAGGUCAGCUAUUAACUAUGUAAAGUACUACCCCUUUUCAGUUUGGCUUCAUGUAGAAAAAUACAAGACAUACCAAUGAAUUGCCUUAAUGUGUAAUUUUUACCCUUUGCCCACAGAUAGAAAAAACAAAACAGAACAAAACUCUUCAAUUUCUCUUGUGGCAGCCCUUCAUAAUUCUACAGCCUACCUUGUAUCAUAUUUAUUUGUGGACCUAUCUUAUUGACUCUAUUAGACUGUAUGUGCUGUGAGGUUAAAGUUUAUGUCACUUUUCAGCCUUUUUUCCCCCUCUAGUACCUUGCCUGAUACUAUGAACAUUUCCAUGUAUUUACUGAAUUUAAUUUAAUUGAUUGGUCCCUGCUUUGGGUAUUUUUGAUCAUGAAGUUCUCCCUGAACAGCCUAUCCAGUCUCGUGAAGAUAACUCUUUAUAUAUUUCUUUCAGGUUCCAGUUUACUCCCCAAAGUCUGGAGAACGGGAAAUUAUAUUCUCUUGCCUUCCAUAGCCUCAGAAUGUAGAAGGAUAGUAACAUCUCUAUUUUUUUUUUACAACCUAAGACCUCUGGAAACAAUUGUUAAAUACACUACUAUAUAGGAUUACCACUAUUAGUUUGUAGGUGACCUUCUCCUUCUGGGCUUUUUUGGCUAUAAUUAAUUUCCUUCUGGAAGCAAUCUCCAGAAUACCAUUUCCUUUUGCCUCUCCCCAGAGUAUAAAGAACAAGAUCCUUUCUAUCAUAAUAUGAUGGUUUGUCAAUCCCUUUCCACCUCAGCAGAGACCCUAAAGCAAAACAUUCAAGAAGAGAUUCUGAUUCUUUUAAUUUGUAAAUAGGCAUCUCUGAAUAACACAAUUCAGACCUGAUCCCACUUUCUUUUAAACAAUUUUUGUCAUUAUGUAUUUGAAGGUCAAAGCCUGUUCCUUUCAUUUCUCAUUGAAUGGGAUCUGGAUAUCUUAAGGGAUAACAUAUCAAAGAAAUAAAUGAAUAGGGGGAAAGGAGCAUUUUUCUGUUUAAAAUGGAAAGAGAAGGGCUUGUUCUCUAUUAUCUAAAUGUGUUUCAAAGAUAGUAAUAUACAUUAUAUGUUCAUAGAAUCCUAGAUUGUGAG